CCAAUAGCGUAUAUUAAAGUUGUUGCAGUUAAAAAGCUCGUAGUUGAAUUUCGGGAUUGACGUGAUGGUCAUGCCUUAAGGGGUAUGAACUGUUACUGUUGAUUUCUCACCUUCUGGAGAAACUUGAUGUCCUUUAUUGGGUGUCUUGCGGAUCCAGGACCUUUACCUUGAAAAAAUUAGAGUGUUUAAAGCAGGCAUUUUUGCUCGAAUACAUUAGCAUGGAAUAAUAGAAUAGGACGGCAUGGUUCUAUUUUGUUGGUUUCUAGGAUCACCGUAAUGAUUAAGAGGGAUAGUUGGGGGCAUUAGUAUUCAAUUGUCAGAGGUGAAAUUCUUGGAUUUAUUGAAGACUAACUACUGCGAAAGCAUUUGCCAAGGAUGUUUUCAUUAAUCAAGAACGAAAGUUAGGGGAUCGAAGACGAUCAGAUACCGUCGUAGUCUUAACCAUAAACUAUGCCGACUAGGAAUCAGACGAUGUUAAUUUUUUAAUGACUCGUUUGGCACCUUACG
rnacentral:rRNA from 1 species